UGGGGAAUUUUGGACAAUGGGCGCAAGCCUGAUCCAGCAAUGCCGCGUGCAGGAUGAAGGCCUUCGGGUUGUAAACUGCUUUUGUACGGAACGAAACGGCUCUUUCUAAUAAAGAGGGCUAAUGACGGUACCGUAAGAAUAAGCACCGGCUAACUAC
rnacentral:rRNA from 1 species